GCCUACGGGUGGCUGCAGUGGGGAAUAUUGGGCAAUGGGCGCAAGCCUGACCCAGCAACGCCGCGUGAAGGAUGAAGGCCUUCGGGUUGUAAACUUCUUUGAUCAGGGACGAAAAGAAUGACGGUACCUGAGGAACAAGCCACGGCUAACUACGUGCCAGCAGCCGCGGUAAUACGUAGGUGGCGAGCGUUAUCCGGAUUUACUGGGUGUAAAGGGCGUGUAGGCGGGCUGACAAGUCGGAUGUGAAAUUCCCGGGCUUAACCCGGGCGGGUCAUCCGAAACUGUCGGUCUUGAGUACUGGAGAGGAUAGUGGAAUUCCUAGUGUAGCGGUAAAAUGCGUAGAUAUUAGGAGGAACACCAGUGGCGAAGGCGGCUAUCUGGACAGUAACUGACGCUGAGGCGCGAAAGCGUGGGGAGCAAACAGGAUUAGAUACCCUGGUAGUC
rnacentral:rRNA from 1 species